UGUGGAGAAUUUAUUAAGAUAAUCACAUACUAUAUAAUAUAUAAUAAACUAGAUUGAUGAUAUUUUUUAUAUUUAAAUAUGAAAUUAAUUUACUGUAGAUUCACUAGGUUACAAAAUAUUGAUCUUAAUGGAUUUAAAUAAUAAAGUAAUUUACUCGUAACUAUCAACCAAUUAUAUAUUUUAAUUUAUCCGAUUUAAAUUGUAUUAAUUAUAUUGACUCACAUUGCAACUCUACAAAAGGAUUACAAAUUAAAAAUGUCGAUGAAUACGUAAUAAUAUUAUUCGAGGGCACCUAUACUUUGACGGUGACUUUACAUAUCUUUAGAAACUUUUGUGCGGUGUAUAUUUGAAUUAAUAAAGGAGUUAGGUAGGUAUCUAUCAAUUUUCAUCUGGAUUUUCGAGUACCAAUUUUGUAUGUAUCUUCGAUUGCAUUUUUUUUAUAAUUGUAUUCUCGUGAGUAAAAAGAAAAAUGCACUUUUCACCGAAGUUUUAUAAUUGCUAAUUUAAUCGAACGUUUUUCGGAUGUGGAAUAAAUUUCGAUUUAUUAUUUUCCCUAGCUAUACGA